UUCCAACUUCAUUGCAAUACCAAAGACGCUGUCAACCCACAGGUCGACUCAACCAGUGAAGUACUUCCUGAGGCAUUGCAAGCCAGGCUGGUCCAUGAACAAAGCCCCGGGUGAGAGCUGAGGAGCGUUGCAAGCCCGAGGGCGGGAGCUACGGACAGGAUGUGGAGGUUGCAGUCGCUGCUCACAGGCAAGUGAUGGUUGAACUGGACUUCACAGCACUCCACUUCAGUGCAGGGACUCGGAGUCAUCACUUUUGCCGAUUCAUGAUGUGGGGGUCAUCACAUUCGCGCACAGAUGGCUCUGGUGCUGGAAUCCAUCUCAGUUUCCUGCACCGACUAGGUCUGUGGUGCGGGACAAAUGGCAGCACUGAGCAUUUCCUGUGCAAAGCGACAGCCAGUGUGAGUGCAUUGCGAAGCGCGAGAUGACGUGAGAUGAAGACGAGAACAUGCGAGCCGAGUGUGUGGCGGCGCUGUAACCACACCUUGAAUGUGCAGAUGCGAGACUCUGAGGUGGAGUUUGUGAGCAUGUGUGUCAAAGGUGGGGUUGCAAUGGCAGUGAUGAGCUGUUCGGACUUGCUUGUCCAUGCCCAGUGUGCUGUGGUAUGUUUUUGUCCUGAGUGAAGCAGGCAAGCGUGUGUGAAGACGUGAUGUCAUGUUGGGCAGAAGGAGGAAGGAUUUUAGUUCCACGACGUGAGUGUCGUGGCUAAUGAGAAUGUUGGAGAGGCAGAGCAACCUAGGUAUCCAGCCGGUUCAGCGAAUGCACCCGUUUCACGGAUGUAAGCGUCGAUGUGAGUGGUGGCGUGAAGAACAGUUGACCCACAGGGAUUGGAGAUGGAUGUUUGGGCGAGUAUGUUGUAUUGUCCUGGAGGACGGUCUAAUGUUUCUUCGGAGACAUCUGAUAAAAUUGGAACGAUACAGAGAAGAUUAGUAUGGCCCCUGCGCAAGGAUGACACGCACAAUUCGAGUAAUGGUCCUAAUUUUUUUUUUUCCUUUUCUCUGACCUUUCGCUGUUUCUUUCUUUCAUCGCUUGCCACUUCAGCCGCCUGGGUUUUCUUCUGAUAACGGCUGCUGUUCACAAACGUUGUUCUCCACUCCAGCACUUAUGUGAGGGUAGUUCAAUGUUCGUUGAACACCAACAGAUCUAACACCGACCUCUUCCAAUUGUACAAUGUUGUCCAAGCCAUGAGUUAGUUUCUCCUCGUUAAUACAUGCUUAUCAACAUUGCUUUGCAUUUUUUACAAUGUUGCCCAUUUGUGCA